AGUGAACGCUGGCGGUAGGCCUAACACAUGCAAGUCGAACGGCAGCACAGUAAGAGCUUGCUCUUACGGGUGGCGAGUGGCGGACGGGUGAGGAAUACAUCGGAAUCUACUUUUUCGUGGGGGAUAACGUAGGGAAACUUACGCUAAUACCGCAUACGACCUACGGGUGAAAGCAGGGGAUCUUCGGACCUUGCGCGAUUGAAUGAGCCGAUGUCGGAUUAGCUAGUUGGCGGGGUAAAGGCCCACCAAGGCGACGAUCCGUAGCUGGUCUGAGAGGAUGAUCAGCCACACUGGAACUGAGACACGGUCCAGACUCCUACGGGAGGCAGCAGUGGGGAAUAUUGGACAAUGGGCGCAAGCCUGAUCCAGCCAUACCGCGUGGGUGAUGAAGGCCUUCGGGUUGUAAAGCCCUUUUGUUAGGAAAGAAAAGCAGCAGGUUAAUACCCCGCUGUUCUGACGGUACCCAAAGAAUAAGCACCGGCUAACUUCGUG
rnacentral:rRNA from 1 species